AUGGUAGGCCAAGAAAUGGCAAGCUGCUUUAUCUGCUGCACAAACCCAGUUUCUGCAGGUGUCCUACCUGAAAAACCACCAGUUGUACCAAGCGCUUUCUCAUGGCAAGCAGUGCAGAGCCUGACAAGCAAAACUCCAUCGUGCUGCACAGCAAAUGCUAGUCUGACAGAAGGGUUGAGUGUGCUGGACUCCCAGACACAGUUUAGAAGAAUGUGCUGGGAAGAGUUGAAGAAAAAGAAAACCCUUUAUUAUUUGAAAAGAUGUAGUUACCUCGUCAUCUUCUGAUCUAGCAAAGUGGAACAUGAGUUUUUGAUCUUUUUACAUAUUUUGAACUUCUGAGCCUUCAAAGGUCUCACAUGCUACAGCUUUUUGGAGCAUUAUUGUACUUUUUCAUGAUCAUUCCUAUAUUCUUUUCCAUUGUAAUUAACAUUUGACAUGAGCCUUUCUUCAAACAAUGUGUUCAAGGAGAGGGAGCCUUCUACUUAAUGAUACCUCCUGUUUAGGUCAGGAGGUCUUUGUGGGACUCUGGCUUUUGUCACCAUCCUUGCCCAACAGUAUUUUCUUCAUGUUAACCUGUUUUAAUGUUACCUUGAGACAGGGGUUACCUCUGUGAUAAUCUGUUUUUCCUUAAGAUAUGGAUCAGAGAUCACAGAUUAAAACCAGGUUUUAGUCACAUUCUGAAAAAAUCAAUGUUUUUGGUAUUGUGAAUUAAAUCAGAAUCUCAAAAAGGGGUGUGGGGCGGCAUGGGGGGAAAGGGAUUAUUACUGUUGUGUGACCUGGGAAAUCUCAGUGUGUUUUCAGGACUUCUGCAUCAUGGUUGUCUUUUAUUCCGAAACUGAAACCAUCUGCAUAUCAAAUCACUGUUGUUCAAUUGAGUUCAACAGGAGGCAAGGUAAUGUACUACUACUGACAAAACAAGACAUGGAACAUUUCCAUCCAUAACCAUCUCUAAUUUUCAUCAUUUUAGUAGCUGAGCAACAGGGGAAGAGUGCUGGACAAUGUAGGGG
rnacentral:lncRNA from 1 species